rnacentral:lncRNA from 1 species
UUUGAAUCUGAUUCAAGCUCUCUAAGUGGAAGUAUAUGCUUCCUACCUGAGAGAGAAUCGGGUUCAAAUCUUGCGGGGACCUUCUCAUGUUCAAUAGGUGUUAAAGUGUGCAAGAUGCGGGUUUUAGGAGGUACGGAUGGAUAUUAGAAGUUGGCAUAAUCAAGAUGAGAGGGAAUCAAGUGAAAUGAAGUAAAAAAGAGCAAAAGAUCACUCAGCACCGUAACCUACGGCCACUGCCGUAGGCUACGGCACCUUGACCUUUGCCAAAAUUGUUCACCGUAAGACAGGAAGCAUGUGCCGUAAAAGAACAUUGACUGCCGUAAGCUACGGUGCCUGGCGUAGCUUACGGCAAUAUGCUGAAGGCUUGGGACUUGCUGACUGCCGUAAGCUACGGCUGGAGCCGUAGCUUACGGCUCCGACUGAUCCAAACUUGUAACAUCCGCAUUUAUUGGCCAUUUUAUGGAGAUUUAUGAUGCCCAAUCAUGCAAUUUCGGUUACUACUUGGAGGGAACGAGUUGGAGGGUAUAUGAGAAGCAUUUGGGAGUGAAGAAACAUAUCUUGGAACUAUCUUUUCACUAAAUUCUUGUCUAGUUUUUGUUGGUGAACAAUAUCUUCCAUUUCUUGCAUUAUGUUAGUUAAAGCCAUGAGUGGCUAGAUAUUUGGGUGAUUAUCUUGUGUUGAAGGUUUGAGUAAGACUAUGUGUUUUCAUUUCAUAUUUCUAGAAUAACAAUUGCUUUUUAUU